CAGUUUAUAGUUUAUUAAAAAUAUUAAUUUUGGAGGUUAAUGAUGUGUAUUUCUAAGCUGA
rnacentral:tRNA from 1 species